CGGUUUCCACCGGAGCUUGCUCCACCGGAAAAAGAAGAGUGGCGAACGGGUGAGUAACACGUGGGUAACCUGCCCAUCAGAAGGGGAUAACACUUGGAAACAGGUGCUAAUACCGUAUAACAAUCGAAACCGCAUGGUUUUGAUUUGAAAGGCGCUUUCGGGUGUCGCUGAUGGAUGGACCCGCGGUGCAUUAGCUAGUUGGUGAGGUAACGGCUCACCAAGGCCACGAUGCAUAGCCGACCUGAGAGGGUGAUCGGCCACAUUGGGACUGAGACACGGCCCAAACUCCUACGGGAGGCAGCAGUAGGGAAUCUUCGGCAAUGGACGAAAGUCUGACCGAGCAACGCCGCGUGAGUGAAGAAGGUUUUCGGAUCGUAAAACUCUGUUGUUAGAGAAGAACAAGGAUGAGAGUAACUGUUCAUCCCUUGACGGUAUCUAACCAGAAAGCCACGGCUAACUACGUGCCCACCCA
rnacentral:rRNA from 1 species